rnacentral:rRNA from 1 species
AUGACACAGCCUCCGCGACGACCCACCGCGACCGCCGAGCCAGUCUUCCUCGGCGCCACAUCCAUCCCAAGUCCAUGGCCCGAGCCGGCCACCAACAUCCCCGUCUUUCGGCACCCGCCUCCCCCGCCGCCGCCGCAGAAGCACCCGCACGGGAAGCACCGGUCCCGCCCCGCCCGCCUCAUGCGUUCGGUGCGCGCCGCAUUCCGUUCGUUCCCAAUUCUCCCGGCACCGUCCUGCCGUGGGAUGCCGUCGCUGCCCCACCUCCCGAGCCUCAACGGUGCCAGCCUCGUCAGGAACCAGUUCCAUGGCUCUACGCGCACCACGGGGACGCUGUACGGCCGCCGGCGGUCGCGCAUCACCAGCGCCUUCCACGACAACCCGGGAAGCCCGCCGGGAUUGCUGUUGGAGAUGUGCGUGCCGACGGCCAAGUUUAUCCAGGACGUCAGCGCGGCCGGCAUGGUGCGCGUCACGCUCGAGUGCGACAAGCAGCAGCAGUACCAGCAUCAGCACGCGGGCGAAGCGUCGCCGGCGCAACGGCAGCUUAUGGACGAGCCGACCUGGUCGGCGGAGGUGAACGGCGAGAGCGUGGGGCACGCGUCUCGGCGGGAGGCGACGGAGGAGGACGAGCGGGUGAUGCGGCUGCUGUACGCCACGUCCAUGGGCGCCGGCGUGCUGCCGGACGACGUGGCCGAGUAUGCCAACGGCGAGCUCACGUACAUGCGCGUGCACUUCGACCGCGUCGUGGGAUCCAAGGACUCUGAGACGUACUACGUGUACAAUCCCGAGGGCACCGCCACCGGGCCGGAGCUCACCAUCUUCUUCGUUAGGAAUUGA